rnacentral:tRNA from 1 species
GCCUUCGUGGUGUAGUGGUCUGCAUGCUCGACGCGUAACCGAGAGAUCCGUGGUUCGAUCCCCGGCGAAGGCG